GACGAACGCUGGCGGCGUGCCUAACACAUGCAAGUCGAGCGGGGAUUUAAGUGGAAGUUCUUCGGAAUGGAGGUUUAAAUUCUAGCGGCGGACGGGUGAGUAACGCCUGAACAAUCUGUCCCGGACAGGGGGAUAACACUUCGCAACAAGUGCUAAUACCGCAUAAGACCACGCCCUCGCAUGGGGCUGCGGUCAAAGGAGCAAUCCGGUUCGGCGUGAGGUCGCGUCCGCUUAGCUAGUUGGCGAGGUAACGGCCCACCAAGGCGACGCUCGGUAGCCGGCCGGAGAGGGGGAACGGCCACAUUGGAAAUGGGAGACGGUAGAAACGACUACGGGAGGCAGGAGGGGGGAAUAUUGGACAAUGGGCGAAAGGCUGACCCAGCAACGCCGCGUGAGAGAAGAAGGUUUUGGGAUAGAAAACCUCUGUCCUAUGGGACGAAGGAAGUGACGGUACCAAAGGAGGAAGCCCCGGCUAACUACGUG
rnacentral:rRNA from 1 species